GUCUUCAGGGACGAACGGUACCUAUGAAAAUAUUGUAGGUACAUGACGGUACCUGAGGAGGAAGCCCCGGCUAACUACGUGCCAGCAGCCGCGGUAAUACGUAGGGGGCAAGCGUUGUCCGGAAUCAUUGGGCGUAAAGGGCGCGUAGGCGGAUAUCUAAGUCUGAUGUGAAAUAUAGGGGCUCAACCCCUAAACUGCAUCGGAAACUGGAUAUCUUGAGGACAGGAGAGGAAAGUGGAAUUCCACGUGUAGCGGUGAAAUGCGUAAAGAUGUGGAGGAACACCAGUGGCGAAGGCGACUUUCUGGACUGUAACUGACGCUGAGGCGCGAAAGCGUGGGGAGCAAACAGGAUUAGAUACCCUGGUAGUCCACGCCGUAAACGAUGAGUGCUAGGUGUAGAGGGUAUCGACCCCCUCUGUGCCGCAGUUAACACAAUAAGCACUCCGCCUG
rnacentral:rRNA from 1 species